CCAUGCACCGAAGCUGCGGCAGCGACACUGUGCGUUGUUGGGUAGGGGAGCGUUCUGUAAGCCUGUGAAGGUGGCCUGUGAGGGUUGCUGGAGGUAUCAGAAGUGCGAAUGCUGACAUAAGUAACGAUAAAGCGGGUGAAAAGCCCGCUCGCCGGAAGACCAAGGGUUCCUGUCCAACGUUAAUCGGGGCAGGGUGAGUCGACCCCUAAGGCGAGGCCGAAAGGCGUAGUCGAUGGGAAACGGGUUAAUAUUCCCGUACUUGGUGUUACUGCGAAGGGGGGACGGAGAAGGCUAUGUUGGCCGGGCGACGGUUGUCCCGGUUUAAGCGUGUAGGCUGGUUUUCCAGGCAAAUCCGGAAAAUCAAGGCUGAGGCGUGAUGACGAGGCACUACGGUGCUGAAGCAACAAAUGCCCUGCUUCCAGGAAAAGCCUCUAAGCAUCAGGUAACAUCAAAUCGUACCCCAAACCGACACAGGUGGUCAGGUAGAGAAUACCAAGGCGCUUGAGAGAACUCGGGUGAAGGAACUAGGCAAAAUGGUGCCGUAACUUCGGGAGAAGGCACGCUGACACGUAGGUGAAGUGAUUUACUCAUGGAGCUGAAGUCAGUCGAAGAUACCAGCUGGCUGCAACUGUUUAUUAAAAACACAGCACUGUGCAAACACGAAAGUGGACGUAUACGGUGUGACGCCUGCCCGGUGCCGGAAGGUUAAUUGAUGGGGUCAGCGCAAGCGAAGCUCCUGAUCGAAGCCCCGGUAAACGGCGGCCGUAACUAUAACGGUCCUAAGGUAGCGAAAUUCCUUGUCGGGUAAGUUCCGACCUGCACGAAUGGCGUAAUGAUGGCCAGGCUGUCUCCACCCGAGACUCAGUGAAAUUGAACUCGCUGUGAAGAUGCAGUGUACCCGCGGCAAGACGGAAAGACCCCGUGAACCUUUACUAUAGCUUGACACUGAACAUUGAGCCUUGAUGUGUAGGAUAGGUGGGAGGCUUUGAAGUGUGGACGCCAGUCUGCAUGGAGCCGACCUUGAAAUACCACCCUUUAAUGUUUGAUGUUCUAACGUGGACCCGUAAUCCGGGUUGCGGACAGUGUCUGGUGGGUAGUUUGACUGGGGCGGUCUCCUCCUAAAGAGUAACGGAGGAGCACGAAGGUUGGCUAAUCCUGGUCGGACAUCAGGAGGUUAGUGCAAUGGCAUAAGCCAGCUUGACUGCGAGCGUGACGGCGCGAGCAGGUGCGAAAGCAGGUCAUAGUGAUCCGGUGGUUCUGAAUGGAAGGGCCAUCGCUCAACGGAUAAAAGGUACUCCGGGGAUAACAGGCUGAUACCGCCCAAGAGUUCAUAUCGACGGCGGUGUUUGGCACCUCGAUGUCGGCUCAUCACAUCCUGGGGCUGAAGUAGGUCCCAAGGGUAUGGCUGUUCGCCAUUUAAAGUGGUACGCGAGCUGGGUUUAGAACGUCGUGAGACAGUUCGGUCCCUAUCUGCCGUGGGCGCUGGAGAACUGAGGGGGGCUGCUCCUAGUACGAGAGGACCGGAGUGGACGCAUCACUGGUGUUCGGGUUGUCAUGCCAAUGGCACUGCCCGGUAGCUAAAUGCGGAAGAGAUAAGUGCUGAAAGCAUCUAAGCACGAAACUUGCCCCGAGAUGAGUUCUCCCUGAGACUUUAGGUCUCCUGAAGGAACGUUGAAGACGACGACGUUGAUAGGCCGGGUGUGUAAG
rnacentral:rRNA from 1 species